UUCCUGGUUUAUUUUCACCCAGGAAUUAGGAAUUUGUGGGAUUGGUUUUUACCAGGAAUUUGAGGGUAUUUCUUGAUUUAUUUUCACCAGGAAUUUGGAAUUUGUGGGAUUGUUUUUUACCAGGAAUUUAGCGUUUUUUCUGGUUUGUUUCUAUCAGGAAUUUUUAAUUUCUGGGGUUUUUUUCCUUGUUUUUGAUCAGCAAUUUGGAAUUCAUGGGGAUUGUUUUGAUCAGGAAUUUUGAAUUGAAUUUGUGGGAUUUUUCCUGGUUGGUUUGAGAGGAAUUUGGAAUUUGUGGGAUUGGUUUUUUACAGGAAUUUGAGGGAGUUUCCCCCUUUUUUUUUAAAUCAGGAAUUUUUACUUUCUGGGUCCCCCCCCAUUUAUUUUUACCAGGAAUUUGGGGGGUUUUCCUGGUUUGUUUUCACCAGGAAUUUGGAAUUUGUGGGAUUGGUUUUUUUACCAGGAAUUUGAGGCUUCCCUUGUUUAUUCUUACCAGGAGUUUUUAAUUUGGGGAGUUUUUUCCUGGUUUAUUUUUAACAGGAAUUCGAGAGUUUUCCUUGUUUGUUUUUAUCAGGAACUUGGAAUUUCUGGAGUUUGUUUUGAACAGGAAUUUUAAAUUAAAUUUGUGAAAUUUUCCCGUU